GGGUGUGGGCUGGGCUCUUUGUCAGGCUGGGGCCUGGACUCCUCAGCAGGCAGAGAGCUAGGUUUCCCAGUUGGGAUUGCACUGGACUCCUUGGCAGGCUGGGGGCUGGACU